GGAGGGCGCAAGCGUUGUUCGGAAUCAUUGGGCGUAAAGCGCGUGUAGGCGGCUUGGCAAGUCGGGUGUGAAAGCCCGGGGCUCAACCCCGGAAUUGCACUCGAUACUGCCUCGCUAGAGUCCCGGAGAGGGUGGCGGAAUUCCCGGUGUAGAGGUGAAAUUCGUAGAUAUCGGGAGGAACACCAGCGGCGAAGGCGGCCACCUGGACGGUGACUGACGCUGAGACGCGAAAGCGUGGGGAGCAAACAGGAUUAGAUACCCUGGUAGUCCACGCCGUAAACGUUGGGUGCUAGGCGCUGCGGGUAUUGACCCCCCUGCAGUGCCCGACGUUAACGCAUUAAGCACCCCCGCCUGGGGAGUACGGUCGCAAGAUUAA
rnacentral:rRNA from 1 species